rnacentral:rRNA from 1 species
AUACGGAGGGUCCAAGCGUUAUCCGGAAUCAUUGGGUUUAAAGGGUGCGCAGGCGGACCUGUCAGUCAGUGGUGAAAUCCCGGGGCUCAACCCCGGAACUGCCAUUGAUACUACAGGUCUUGAAUACGGUUGAAGUAGGCGGAAUGUAGCAUGUAGCGGUGAAAUGCAUAGAUAUGCUACAGAACACCGAUCGCGAAGGCAGCUUACUAAGCCGAUAUUGACGCUCAGGCACGAAAGCGUGGGUAGCGAACAGGAUUAGAAACCCUAGUAGUCC